CCAAUAGCGUAUAUUAAAGUUGUUGCAGUUAAAAAGCUCGUAGUUGAAUUUCGGGAUCAAUAUGCUGGUCGUGCCAUUGGUACGUACUAGUAUUGUUGGUUUCUUCCUUCUGAUGAAUCAUGAUGUCAUUAAGUUGAUGUCAUGGGGAAUCAGGACUGUUACUUUGAAAAAAUUAGAGUGUUUAAAGCAGGCUCGUGCUUGAAUACAUUAGCAUGGAAUAAUGAAAUAGGACGUUUGAUUCUAUUUUGUUGGUUUCUAGGAUUGACGUAAUGAUUAAUAGGGAUAGUUGGGGGCAUUAGUAUUCAAUUGUCAGAGGUGAAAUUCUUGGAUUUAUUGAAGACUAACUACUGCGAAAGCAUUUGCCAAGGAUGUUUUCAUUAAUCAAGAACGAAAGUUAGGGGAUCGAAGACGAUCAGAUACCGUCGUAGUCUUAACCAUAAACUAUGCCGACUAGGGAUCGGAUGAUGUUAAUUUUUUAAUGACUCAUUCGGCGCCUUAC
rnacentral:rRNA from 1 species